rnacentral:rRNA from 1 species
GCGCAGCAGGCGAGAAUUUUCACAAUGGGGAAACCCUGAUGGAGCGACGCCGCGUGGAGGAUGAAGGUCUUUUGGUCGUAAACUCCUGUCAUGCGAGAACAAGAAAGUGAUAGUAUCGCAAGAGGAAGAGGCGGCUAACUCUGUGCCAGCAGCCGCGGUAAUACAGAGGCCUCAAGCGUUGUUCGGAUUCAUUGGGCGUAAAGGGUGCGUAGGUGGCUUGUUAAGUUGAAGGUGAAAUCUCGGGGCUCAACUCCGAAACUGCCUUCAAUACUGGCGAGCUCGAGGAUUGUAGAGGAGAAUGGAAUUCACGGUGUAGCAGUGAAAUGCGUAGAUAUCGUGAGGAAGACCAGUGGCGAAGGCGAUUCUCUGGGCAAUUCCUGACACUGAGGCACGAAGGCCAGGGGAGCAAAACGGGAUUAGAUACCCCGGUAGU